UUUCCGUAGGUGAACCUGCGGAAGGAUCAUUAAUGUGUUUGGGCCUCACGGCUCUUCAUUCCGACGCUGUGCGCCUUCGGGCUGUACGCUGAGGGAGCAUAUAUCCACCCCUGUGCACACACACGGUGGCGAGCUGGGUAACGGCUCGCCGCUGAUCUUUACACACGUCUAAAAGUCAUUGUAUGUUUAUUUGAGAUAAAAACACAACUUUCAGCAACGGAUCUCUUGGCUCUC
rnacentral:misc_RNA from 1 species